AACGAACGCUGGCGGCAUGCCUAACACAUGCAAGUCGAACGAGACCUUCGGGUCUAGUGGCGCACGGGUGCGUAACGCGUGGGAACCUGCCCUUAGGUUCGGAAUAACUCCCCGAAAGGGGUGCUAAUACCGGAUAAUGUCUUCGGACCAAAGAUUUAUCGCCUUUGGAUGGGCCCGCGUUGGAUUAGCUAGUUGGUAGGGUAAAAGCCUACCAAGGCGACGAUCCAUAGCUGGUCUGAGAGGAUGAUCAGCCACACUGGGACUGAGACACGGCCCAGACUCCUACGGGAGGCAGCAGUGGGGAAUAUUGGACAAUGGGCGAAAGCCUGAUCCAGCAAUGCCGCGUGAGUGAUGAAGGCCUUAGGGUUGUAAAGCUCUUUUACCCGGGAUGAUAAUGACAGUACCGGGAGAAUAAGCUCCGGCUAACGCCG
rnacentral:rRNA from 1 species